GUAGGUGGCAAGCGUUGUCCGGAAUUAUUGGGCGUAAAGCGCGCGCAGGCGGUUCUUUAAGUCUGAUGUGAAAGCCCACGGCUCAACCGUGGAGGGUCAUUGGAAACUGGAGAACUCGAGUACAGAAGAGGAAAGCGGAAUUCCACGUGUAGCGGUGAAAUGCGUAGAGAUGUGGAGGAACACCAGUGGCGAAGGCGGCUUUCUGGUCUGUAACUGACGCUGAGGCGCGAAAGCGUGGGGAGCAAACAGGAUUAGAUACCCUGGUAGUCCACGCCGUAAACGAUGAGUGCUAAGUGUUAGGGGGUUUCCGCCCCCCUUAGUGCUGCAGCUAACGCAUUAAGCACUCCGCCUGGGAUACGGCCGCAAGGCUG
rnacentral:rRNA from 1 species